rnacentral:lncRNA from 1 species
UGAGCACCUCUGCAGCAGAACAACCUAGCAAGGCAGAAAGAAACACGUUUGACAUAUGAACCUAAGCCAUUUAUAUGAUGUCAGCAUUUCAACUUGUGGUUUAGACCUACCAAGAAGGAGGAGACAUUGAUGGAGUUAAUUGGGAAACUGGGUGAACAUGUGAAACAGACAUCUACUGGAGUUAAUGGGGAAACAAAGCACAUCUGGUGCAGGAUACCCAAAAUGUAAAAAAAAAAAAAGUCAAAGGCUAGGAGAAUGUUAAGGAGGAACGAUUACCUGAUUCCUCCCUUCCCCCCAUUAUGAACUUGUGAGCACUGCUGGAGACAAUACAAAGCUAGAUGGCAUACAAGGCCCUUGUACAAAGAUUAAUAGGUCAUUAAACAGGCUGGGAAAUUCCUGAUUAACUUAAGAUUCUACUUGAAGGCUGACACAGAUUUUAAAUCAAAAACAAUCUGAUAAACUUUUUAUCUUCAGAAAAAAGUAUUUCCUGGAAAUGUUUUCCAGAGAAUGGUUUUACACUGAGACAGGGGAGGUUUAGGUUAGAUAUUAGGAGAAAGUUUUUCACACAGAGGGUGGUGAUGCACUGAUGAUGCACAGGUUGCCCAAGGAGGCUGUGGAUGCCCCAUCCCUGGAGGCAUUCAAGGCCAGGCUGGAUGUGGCUCUGGACAGCCUGGUCUGGUGGUUGGAGACCCUGCACACAGCAGGGGUGUUGAAACUCGAUGAUCACUGUGAUCCUUUUCAACCCAGACCAUUCUAUGAUUCUAUGAAAUGUCCCAUAAUCCAAACUGGCUGGGCUAAAUCCCUAUUCACCUCUUCUCUGAGCAGAAACAACCUUCUUGGCAGAGUAAACUGAGUACUAAACAAAGUACUGUCCUUCUGAUUAUCUGGUAAGGGGGAGGAGAUGAAGCAAAGAAGGCUGAGACAACUCCAGAAGUCUUAAAAGUAGUCAUAACAUCAAAUCAGUCAGUGAAAAAUGUGGAUUUUCUACGUUUUAAUUUAUUCCUAAAAUUCCCUGGAAUUUUCAUUGACCAGACCAUUGUUCAUGAUCUGCAUGUGUUAGAGAAGCAGCAG